UACGAAGGGGGCUAGCGUUGCUCGGAAUCACUGGGCGUAAAGCGCACGUAGGCGGCUUGCUAAGUCAGGGGUGAAAUCCUGGAGCUCAACUCCAGAACUGCCUUUGAUACUGGCGAGCUUCGAGUCCGGGAGAGGUGAGUGGAACUGCGAGUGUAGAGGUGAAAUUCGUAGAUAUUCGCAAGAACACCAGUGGCGAAGGCGGCUCACUGGACCAUAACUGACGCUGAGGCGCGAAAGCUAGGGGAGCAAACAGG
rnacentral:rRNA from 1 species